AAAGAGAGUUAGUCUAACCAAGACAGCUGAUUUCGACUCAACAAAUCAUAGUCUAAACCUAUGACUCUCUU
rnacentral:tRNA from 1 species